CCUACGGGAGACAGCAGUGGGGAAUAUUGCGCAAUGGGCGAAAGCCUGACGCAGCGACGCCGCGUGAGGGAUGAAGGUCUUCGGAUCGUAAACCUCUGUCAGCAGGGAAGAACGGUCACUGUGCUAAUCAGCAGUGAAUUGACGGUACCUGCAAAGGAAGCACCGGCUAACUCCGUGCCAGCAGCCGCGGUAAUACGGAGGGUGCGAGCGUUAAUCGGCAGUACUGGGCGUAAAGCGCUCGUAGGCGGUAUGGCAAGUCAAGGGUGAAAUCCCCGCGCUCAACGUGGGAACUGCAUGUGAAACUGGCAAACUGGAGUGUGUGAGAGGAUAGUGGAA
rnacentral:rRNA from 1 species